UGCCCCCUGCUUGUCCUCUGCCCCUGUGUGUCCCACACUCACCCCCAGCACCCUAGGGCCUUGCCCUGGUGCCACCACAGCAUGGGGCGGGCUAUGAGCGCUGGCACAGAUCUGCCCUAUGGCUGCCCACCCCAGGGGCACGUGUAUCCCCCCUGCCACACGUGUCCCCCCACCACACGUGCAUGGGCAAAGUCCCCACAGCCAGGGCUGCCGCCGCCGCCUGCCUGCCCCACACCACUGCCCCUACCCCUGCUCUGUGGGGCGCUGGCAAUGCUCACCGCAAGGGCACCUCACGCUCUGCAGCAGGGGUGCUGCACACCCUGGUGACCCACAGGGCACCCCCAGCCCAGCCCCAUAGCAGCUUCUGGAGAAGCCACGAGCUGGCUGCCUGGGGACUGGGCAGUCCCCGCAGGGAAGAACCGGCCUUUGUUACAAUUAAUAAUUACAGUGAAAGAGGCUGGAGGAGCUGGAGCGAGGCCCAAGCGGGCAGGACGCCCUUGCUGCUAGGGGGACUGGGCGGGGGGGCGUCCCCUGUCCCCACCUGCACCUCUGUCACAGUUCAGGGUGCAGCACGGAUCCCCCAGGCCGGUGACAUGGCGGGGGGGGGCGCGGGGCUGGCCAAGCGCCUGGGGACCCUCCUCUCAGGGCUGCUGGAGUGCGGGGUCUUCUGCGGUGUCAUCUUCGGCUGGGCCUCCCUCGUCUUUGUCCUCAAGGAUCUGAACUACUUCAGGGACCUAUGCCAGCCCACCAACACCAGCCACAACCAGACCUCACAGACUGGCUGCGGUGAGCAGGAUGAGCAGUUCUCCCUCGUCUUCACCAUCGGCUCCUUCAUGAACAACUUCAUGACCUUCCCCAUGGGCUUCAUCUUUGACCGCUUUGGCACCGCCACCGCCCGCCUCAUCGCCAUCACCCUCUACACCGGCGGGAUCCUGCUCGUCGCCUUCUCCACCCCAGAGCUGGCGGUGCUGCUCUUCCCGGCCAUGUCCAUGCUGUCGGUGGGUGGCAUCCUCCUCAUUCUCACCAACAUGCAGGUGGGCAACCUCUUUGGGAAGUACCGCUCCAUCAUCAUCACCCUGUAUAACGGGGCUUUUGACUCCUCGUCCGCCACCUUCCUCAUUGUCAAGGUGCUGUAUGGGCAUGGGCUGUCCCUGAAAGCCAUGUUCCUCUUCAUGGCGGCCUGUAGCGCCUGGCACCUGCUGCGCACCCUCUUCCUCAUGCCCUGCACCCGCAUCCCAUACCCGCUGCCCCCCGGCUACAACUACGGGCUGCGGUGCCCGGGGCACUCCAAGUCGUACCGCACCUACGAGGAGAAGCGCCGGCCGGAGGUGGCCGGCCCCGAGGAGACCCCGCUGGAGGGCAGCGCCCCCCGAGGCGGCAGGGACCCCCCCGGGGUGUCCUUCAGGGCCUGCGUAUGCUCGAAGCUCUUCGCUUGGCAAGUGGCCUGGCUCUCCGUCAUGCAGCUGCGCCAUUACCUCUUCAUUGGUACCUUCAACCCCCUCCUCAAUCACCUGGCCAGUGGAGACCGCCAACUGGUGAGCACCUACACCAACGCCUUCGCCUUCACCCAGCUCUGCGGGGUGCUCUGUGCCCCAUGGAACGGCCUCAUUCUUGACCGACACAAGCGGGGCAAGACCCCCCGCCCUGAGGGAGCCUUGGGCGCGCUGGCUGACUUGCGGGCCUCCGUGCUGUCACUGGUGGUGACAGUGGUGCAGUGUGUGCUCUUCUCCAUCUGCGCGGCGGUGCCGGUGCUGCCUGUCCAGUUUGCCACCUUCGUGCUGCAGGUCCUCAGCCGCUCCUUCCUCUAUGGGGGCAACGCCGCCUUCCUGGCCAUUGCGUUCCCCCCGCAGCACUUUGGGAAGCUGUACGGGCUGGCCAUGGCACUGUCGGCGCUGGUGGCCCUGCUGCAGUACCCCUGCAUUGCUCUCGUGCGCGGGCCGCUCCACGGGGACCCCUUCUAUCACCCCCAGCCACUAGGGCUUCUCCAGUGUCUGCUAUGGGGUUGGGCACCCCACUCCCUCCCAGGACCCUCGGCACACAGGAACACAGCCUCUUAGCUGGCAAACCUGCAUCCAGUGCUACAGAGGGAACCUGGCCUCCAUCCACAGCCACCACAGCACCACCUGCAGAGGCAGGCACGGUGCCACAUUGCUGGCACCUCGCAGCUCUGGAUCGGGGCCAUCACCCAGCGUCUGGCUGGCAAGCUGCACUACAGCUGGACAGAUGGCAGCCCCUGGAACUACUCACAGUGACGGUUCGGCCACCCGCGGUGCUUGGUCAGCCGCUGCACCACCCUCUCCUCCCAGGAUGGGCUCUGGAGAAGUGUGAAAUGCAAUAAGAAGCUGCCCUACAUCUGCGAGUACUGAGGGGCUCAGCCCCCCUGCCAUGCUCCCCAGCCCUGGACCACCCCUGCUGCCACCCCGCCACUGGCCCUGCGGGGCGGGGGGGGGGCUGCACCCCUCACCCUGGAUCUCAAUAGACCAUCAGCUUGCAGCA